GUGGUCGUAGAAUAAUGGUAAUUCGCCAGAUUGUGGAUCUGGUUUAUGUGAGUUCAAGUCUCAUCGGCCACCUCA
rnacentral:tRNA from 1 species